CCGCGUGCGGCUGAUGACAGCACUCCUGCUGAGACUCUGUGAUUGCUGUGUCUCAAAGUAAACGCCCUGACGCACUGUGG
ensembl:snoRNA SNORD105B small nucleolar RNA, C/D box 105B